GGGGCGAGGUGGGGCGAAGGCGGGAGCUGUGUGGGGCCCGGCCCGCUCAGGGAGGGCCUGGCUCGCUGCGGCGGCGUCCCCAGGUGGGGCAGAGCGCGUCGAGGGCCCGCCGGCCCCGCAGAGCACUGAUGCAGAAAUAUCUUCCCAGUGUGGUCCCUCGUAUCACCAUUACUCUUUCACACUGUCAGCUUGGCAAGCCAUCAUCACCCAAGUGCUGACUUUGGCCAACAGUCCAUCUUUUUACUUUGGAUUUACGAAGCCACCAAUUUGGACUAGUUGAACAACAGCAGUAAUUUUUGAGAAAGGUUUCCUUCUGCUUCAGCUGACCUACUCAGACACCUAAGUGCUACCGAAGAUCAAAUGACACCAGGUUCAGCGUCUGCCAGCAUUGAGAUUUUGAGUCUGUAUUCCUCCUUGUUUAUUCAUUUGAAAGUCAAUUUUGCAAUAUUUCUGCCUUCUGUCCUGAAAAGGCUCAAUAAAUGUUCUUUGACCUUAGUUGGGUUAGACUGAUCUGCUACUUAUGCAUUCUAGUGAUAUUUUAAAAUAUUAACAGUCACCAGUUUAUAGAGAAUCUGUUGAAUUUACAAUUACAGACAUACUGGCUGCAAAAGUACUUCACCCAAGAGUUGCUGCUGCGGCCCAGGAGGACUUGAUGUUGGGGAGGGACCGGUAGGGCAUUACCACUGAUGUGCGCUCAGGGGAGAAAGGCUUCCAAAUUGUGCUAGACACCAAAACGUUGCUGGUGGAAGGCCCUCAGGAGAGAUGCCAAGGCAAGCAGUGCCCUUUCUUGUUUCGUUCCACCUCUUUUCCAAAUGGGCAUCUCUUCGAUGAGAUGGAUUGCCUGGCUCCCAGCCCUGUUGUGAUAGGGACUGGCAAACUGCUGUGCACCUGUUCCGGAGGGAUUAGCCACCAGUGACAGCCCAUACCCAGAAUUUCCUCCACAGAUGCUAGUACCCUUCAACAAGUGAGUCAGAACCAUUUGACUUAGAGCUUUUUAUAGUUGUUGUUGAGGGUAAUGAUAAUCAUCCUCAUAAAGUCUAGUUCUUAAUCUCAUACUUAAUGGUUUGCCAUUGGUCGAAGGAGAAGAUACCAUGCUGUUCUUCACUCCCAUCCCUAUCUGCUUUACUGGCACAGCAAAACAGUGUUAAGCUUCUACAAUCAUCUGUCAUUAUGUUGGAAAGCGAGCGUUGUCUGGUGGAUAAGAUGCCAGGCUGAGUCCAGAAUUGACUCUGCUAAUGAAUUCACCAUUGGUAAAUCUAAGACUAUAUUACUUCCUCUGCUAUUUUGAUUUUCUUAUCCAUAAAUACAUUCAUUUGAGAAUUCAAUAAACAGCUUAUGCCGAAAAUCAAGCAUGACAGGAUUGGUUAGCAGAACUGGGCUUUAUGUUAAUUUUUCUAGUCCAAAGAAUUAAAUAUUGUCUGUAUUGUAUUCAGGUAUGUUGAUUAUUACUGUAUUCAUAUAUAAUUGAUUAUAAAAAUAAUAUGCACUGGUUUUUUUCUUUUUUGUCCACUACUUACAGGCCUUUGUCAUUCUAGUAGAAAACAGAUUUUGAUAUAAAUGAUUUAUUUUAUUACUUUUGAAAAUUGUGUCCAUAUAGCUGAGGGAAUAAACAUCCUAAAUUUGAUUCCACCCAAGCUGUUGUUUGGGGCUUUUUUCCUCUUUUCUUCUUCCUUUCUACCAAUACAUAAAAAGAAUCGGGCACUUCCUGCUAUGCCCUAAGCACAAAUUUAGUUCCUGCUAUAUCCACUCUAACGUAUUCAGGAAGGAAGGAAUACUCUCUCUGAGGCUGUAGUGCUUUUACAGUGGCUGCAGUAGCUGUAGCUCAGACUGUCUGGAAGUGAAAAAUAUGGGAGGAAUUGUGAAAUGUUUGAUCUUUGGGAGUAACAAGGAAA